rnacentral:miRNA from 12 species
GUGUGCCAAUGCCUCAGCUGAUGCAGUUCACAGCUUGGUGGUUGCAAUUAAUACACCAGACGUGGACUGGAGCACCUGAUGUAAGGGCACAC